AACGAACGCUGGCGGCGUGCUUAACACAUGCAAGUCGAACGGCAAGGCACUGCUUUCGUGGGGUUCUCGAGUGGCGAACGGGUGCGUAACAGGUGUAUAACCUGCUCUAGACUUUGGGAUGACUUCAGGAAACUGGGGCUACUAUCGGAUAGGAGCCCCCCCUGGAGUGAAGGGGGUGGAACGUUUCGGCGGGCGGGGAUGGAUGAGCGGCUGAUCAGCUAGUUGGUGGGGUAGUGGCAUACCAAGGCAGUGACGGGUAGCCGGCCUGGGAGGGGGACCGGCCACAUGGGGCCUGCGAGACGGCCCAGACGCCUACGGUAGGCAGCGGUGGGGAACAUGACACAGUGGGCGGAAGCCUGAUGCAGCAGCGCCGCGUGCGGGAUGACGGCCUGCGGGGUGUAAACCGCUUUCGCCUGUGACGAAGCGGGAGUGACGGUAAUGGGUAAAGAAGCACCGGCUAACUACGUG
rnacentral:rRNA from 1 species